rnacentral:rRNA from 1 species
AUCGUCGGAGAGUCGAAGAUGAGCGGCGGCAUCCGGCGGUUCCUGAACCUAGGGGUGCAUGACGGGCGCAACCGCGCGUAUUCGUUGCGCCGCUUGGACCUCUCCAAGAUAAACUCUUUUCACCGGACGGCAGAUGAGGUGGCCGCGCAGGGCAAGGUGCUGCCAACACUGACCCCCGCCAAGGCCUCGGUGCCCAACAGGAAAAGGAUCUGCAACACUAAUCUAGCGGCGGCAGAGGCGGCGGCGCCCAAGAUCAAAAAGGCGCCAGCAAGCGAGUUGGUCAUGAGGCCACCGGAAGUCUCGUCCUGCCUGCCGGGCCGUCACUGCGUUCAUUUCUUCCCCACCGCCUCGGAGAAAACAUUCGUCUUGGGCGACCGCGCGAAUCGCAUGCUACGCUUCGACAUGGGCGAGCACUGCCGCUCGAUCGAUACCAUGCCAAGCCUCCACGAGCACAAGCACUCGCCGUUGUCAAUCACCGUCCCUCCGUCGGACUCACACCUCGAUGAUGGAGAAGACUGCGGGGACCUCUACAUCAUCGAUAGGAUCCUCCAUCCGGACAAGUCCGAGGUGAAGCCGCAGUUCGAGGCCCUGGUGUGGAGGGCAGAGCAUCCACGCUCCUUUUCUAGCAGGUCCUGGCACUGUGACAUCCUCCCGCUGCCACCGUGGAUCAUCCACCAGAAGCACGCCUACGUCUAUGGCCACGCCCUCGUGGGCGACACCAUCUGCUUCUCUAUCGCCGGUGCCGAGGGCACUGGCACCUACUGCUUCUACAUCAAGACUCGUGAGUGGAGCAAGGCUGGCGACUGGCUUAUUCCGUUCCAGGGCAAGGCGGAAUACGUCCCGGAGCUCGGGCUCUGGUUCGGUGAAUCACAAGGCCUCCCCUGCGCUGCUGACAUCUCUGGCGUCCUCAGAGGGGAGGAGCCGCUGCCGGAGAAGAUGCGGAUCUGGGCGAAUGAUGACCUGCCAGAGGAGUGGCAGCCGAGCGAAUUGUGCAAGUCCAAGGUCAUCAGCGUUGGCUCCGGCAGGUUCAUUGUUGCUGACUUCUUGGAUUCCAUGAUAUUUGACAAGGACUGCAAUGAGAUGGUUACUGGCAAGCAAUUUGCCCUCUUUACUGGUAUGGAGGUAGUGUACGGCAAUGGCAAGAAUGGCAAUGGCGCCAACAAAGACAAUGACAACUACAAUAGUGGCAACAAUGGCAUCUGCAAAGACAAUGGAAACAUUGGCAGCAAAGGCAAAGAGAUGAUGCGUGGCCUCCGUAUGAUUAAGCACAAAUCCAUUCGUUACAUGUUUAACAAGCAACUGAGUAUCGAGGCGGUGCUCUGA